GCGUCAAAAAGCAGGUAGAGCGCAUGACUAGUAAUCAUGAGGUCCGCGGUUCGAAUCCGCGUGGAAGCA
rnacentral:tRNA from 1 species